CUCUCUUAAAGGGCAGCACUCUACUCUCUCCUCCAGCUCUGCUUCACUCCCACCUUAUUUGAUUGCUAUUUACUGUCCUAAUGUGUUUUAUACCCCACCUCCUAUAGACUGUAAGCUCGUUUGAGCAGGGUCAUCUUCAACCUAUCGUUCCUGUACGUUUUCUUGUAAUUGUCCUAUUUAUAGUUAAAUCCCUCCUCUCAUAAUAUUGUAAAG